rnacentral:rRNA from 1 species
CCUACGGGAGGCAGCAGUGGGGAAUAUUGCACAAUGGGCGCAAGCCUGAUGCAGCCAUGCCGCGUGUGUGAAGAAGGCCUUCGGGUUGUAAAGCACUUUCAGCGGGGAGGAAGGCGUUAAGGUUAAUAACCUUGUCGAUUGACGUUACCCGCAGAAGAAGCACCAGCUAACUCCGUGCCAGCAGCCGCGGUAAUACGGAGGUUGCAAGCGUUAAUCGGAAUUACUGGGCGUAAAGCGCACGCAGGCGGUCUGUCAAGUCGGAUGUGAAAUCCCCGGGCUCAACCUGGGAACUGCAUUCGAAACUGGCAGGCUAGAGUCUUGUAGAGGGGGGUAGAAUUCCAGGUGUAGCGGUGAAAUGCGUAGAGAUCUGGAGGAAUACCGGUGGCGAAGGCGGCCCCCUGGACAAAGACUGACGCUCAGGUGCGAAAGCGUGGGGAGCAAACAGGAUUAGAUACCCGGGUAGUC